rnacentral:lncRNA from 1 species
AAUAAGAGACACCACUGCACCACAUACACCAAGGAGAAGCCAUGUGAGCACAGAGAGAGAAGGCAGCCAUCUACAAUCCAAGGAGAGAGCCUUUACCAGAUACCAACCCUGCUAGUAGCUUGAUCUUUGACUUCCAGUCUCCAGAACUGCUGAGAAUUAUCUACAUAUUCUGCAUUGAAGCCCCUUGUCAAAUUUUAAAUGUGAAAGUCUGAAAGCAGCUAUUCUGAAAAUCUCCAAUAUAAGAAGAUUCCAUUGACUAAAUGUAAUUUCAGCAAAAUGGAGACAGUACUGCAGUUUAGCCUCUGAAUAUUUCCUCCUUGGGCUUCUCGGGUAACUCAGACCCCAAAUGCCUGUCUAAUCUCAAAAUUGGUCAGCUCUACGACUAAACAGGAUGCAUAAGAUGGAGGAUUUGACUACGAUUGGAACAAGAUAGCCCCAGACAACUGGACACUACUCAGUCAAUGUCACUGCUAUUGGAAACUCUGAGACCAGAUGACAGACGAUGUCAUCCCUCUUGAGGGAGUGAAAUCAAAUCACAUAUUUGCAAACUAGUGAUUAUUUGCAUCAUCGUCAUUGUGUUAAGGUAGAAGACGAAUGUUAUUGAGGCUUCUCCAUGGACAGACCUCCACCAUGCAUUAAAUGCUAAAACACUUGGCUUACGGGCUGAGAGGAGGGAAGCAAAAAGGAGUAAAGCCUGUGGGAAGAAGGCUGAGGUCGGAUUUCCUGAAGCUAUUAAUUAACGAUACUAGAAGACCUUGAAUAUUCAUAGAAUUGCAUAUUGUUAAAACAAGCACACCU